rnacentral:rRNA from 1 species
AGUUCGAUGCAUUAGACCCGAAACCCGGCGAUCUAGGCAUGACCAGGCUGAAGGUGCGGUAACACGCACUGGAGGGCCGAACCGUUUAAUGUUGAAAAAUUAUCGGAUGAGUUGUGUUUAGGGGUGAAAGGCCAAUCAAGCCGGGAAAUAGCUGGUUCUCCGCGAAAUCUAUUGAGGUAGAGCGUCGGAUGAUUGCCGUUGGGGGUAGAGCACUGGAUGGUUGCGGGGGUCGCGAGAUCUACCAAUACUAACCAAACUCCGAAUACCAACGAGUCUAGUCCGGCAGACAGACGGCGGGUGCUAAGGUCCGUCGUCAAAAGGGAAACAGCCCUAACCUACAGCUAAGGUCCCCAAGUCACGUCUAAGUGGGAAAGCAUGUGGGAUUUCCAAAACAACCAGGAGGUUGGCUUAGAAGCAGCCAUCCUUUAAAGAAAGCGUAACAGCUCACUGGUCUAAACAAGAGAUCCUGCGGCGAAGAUGUAACGGGGCUCAAGACGUGCACCGAAGCUUAGGGUUCAGCACUUUGUGCUGAGCGGUAGCGGAGCGUUCCGUAGGCCGUUGAAGCGGAAGGGUAACCGACCGUGGAGGUAUCGGAAGUGCGAAUGCAGACAUGAGUAGCGAUUAAGAGGGUGAGAUGCCCUCUCGCCGAAAUUCCAAGGGUUCCUGCUUAAAGCUAAUCUGAGCAGGGUAAGCCGGCCCCUAAGACGAGCCCGAAGGGGGUAGUCGAUGGGAACCACGUUAAUAUUCGUGGGCCUGGAGGUGUGUGACGGAUGGUGCAACUUGUCUGGCCUUAUUGGAUUGGUCCAGGCAGGGAAACUGUCCCAGGAAAUAGCCCCUCCGUAUAGACCGUACCCUAAACCGACACAGGUGGAAUGGUAGAGUAUACCAAGGCGUUUGAGAGAAGUAUCCUGAAGGAACUCGGCAAAUUGCCUCCGUACCUUCGGAAGAAGGAGGCCCCAUCUAAGCGCAAGCUCUGAUGGGGGGCACAGGCCAGGGGGUAGCGACUGUUUAGCAAAAACACAGGGCUCUGCUAAGUCGGCUUCAAGACGACGUAUAGGGCCUGACGCCUGCCCGGUGCCUGAAGGUUAAGAGGAGGAGUGCAAGCUCUGAAUUGAAGCCCAGGUAAACGGCGGCCGUAACUAUAACGGUCCUAAGGUAGCGAAAUUCCUUGUCGGGUAAGUUCCGACCUGCACGAAUGGCGUAACGACUUCCCCACUGUCUCCAGGAUAUGCUCAGCGAAAUUGAAUUCUCCGUGAAGAUGCGGAGUACCCGCGGUUAGACGGAAAGACCCCGUGCACCUUUACUGCAGCUUCAGAGUGGCAUUAGGAAAGAACUGUGUAGCAUAGGUGGGAGGCUUUGAAGCCGGGACGCCAGUUCCGGUGGAGCCAUAGGUGAAAUACCACCCUGUUGUUUUCUGAUGUCUAACCUCGCACCGUCAUCCGGUGCAGGGACCCUCUGUGGCGGGUAGUUUGACUGGGGCGGUCGCCUCCUAAAGAGUAACGGAGGCGCGCGAUGGUGGGCUCAGGACGGUUGGAAACCGUCUGUUAGAGUGCAAUGGCAUAAGCCCGCCUGACUGCGAGACUGACAAGUCGAGCAGAGACGAAAGUCGGUCAUAGUGAUCCGGUGGUCCCUCGUGGAAGGGCCAUCGCUCAACGGAUAAAAGGUACGCCGGGGAUAACAGGCUGAUGAUUCCCAAGAGCUCAUAUCGACGGAAUCGUUUGGCACCUCGAUGUCGGCUCAUCACAUCCUGGGGCUGGAGCAGGUCCCAAGGGUUUGGCUGUUCGCCAAUUAAAGUGGUACGUGAGCUGGGUUCAGAACGUCGCGAGACAGUUUGGUCCCUAUCUGCCGUGGGCGUCGAAAUUUGAGAGGAGUUGACCCUAGUACGAGAGGACCGGGUUGAACAUGCCUCUGGUGUACCUGUCGUCCUGCCAAGGGCGCAGCAGGGUAGCUAUGCAUGGACGGGAUAACCGCUGAAAGCAUCUAAGCGGGAAGCCUCCCUCAAGAUAAGAUUUCUUCGAGCGGUCGUAGACCACGACCUUGAUAGGCCGGAUGUGGAAGUGCGGUAACGCAUGGAGCUAACCGGUCCUAAUUGCUCUGUUCGCGCUUGAAUGCU